GAACAAUUUUGGAACAGAUGGUUCUCUGCAAAAAAUAUUAAUACCAUCAUAAUGUUAUUUAGUCUAGUUCAAUGACUGGUAAUAGAAAUGGUGCUAUAUAUCAUAAGUCAUAAAAGAAUUCACUGGUGAGAAAGGAUAGCUAACUCUAUUAAAGAAAAUCCAAACACAUUAGAUGAUGAGUCAGAUCCUCCAUGAAAAUCUUGGUACAGAAAGUGACAGUGUUUGGAUGCAGUAUUUGAGUAGGGGUUACACAUGAAUCUCAGUUGGCUUAGUUGUUUUCACUUUCUAUAAAAUCCAAUAUAUAGUGAAGAGGGAAGAUGAUAACAUUCCAAAGUAUUGCUCAACCUUUUGCCUAAGGAAAAAAAAAAUGUUCCUCUAGCAUGCUAUUGGAUGAGGAACAUUGCUCCCUAAUACGAAACUGAGGUAUUACAAUUAGAAAGUAAGGAUGUAUGUUGGUCAGAGUAAAACACAUACACCCUGUAGCCACAAGGGCUUGGAAAGUGACUUUUCAACCAUUUUCACUUCCUUCAACAAUAUCUCUCUCUUCAAUAUAUGUGCUUAGGAGCAAGUUAUAUCAUGGCAAUAAUUGCUUAUUCUACAUAGACAAAUGGAAAGGAUUUGGAAAUUCAGAGAGCAGCCUGCUCAGAGUGGUCUGCAGUAAAAAAAAAAAAAAAAAAAAAAAAAAAGGAAAAAUAGAGGUAUUCUUCAGAUGUGGGAUAAUGGCCAUUCUCUAUGGGCUCAUCGUCAAAUGCCAUAUAUCAGGAGUGAAUGAGGGCCUCUCAAAAGUUGAGCCUAGUUUAUGUUUUCUGCUGAUACUUGUGCUUCUGAUGCCUUUAUUCUAUCCAUGAUAGCAAGUAUGACUGCCCGGUGGCCCUGUGUACAUAUAUGGUGGGACAGGGAAGAAUCAUUGUGGAUCAAGGAAUAGUGAUCGCAUAAGAAGUUUACCAACAAACACUUUUGGCAAUUACACUAGAGUUCAUGAGGGGCUAGGAGGCACGAGGUAGGGGACAGGGGACAGGGGACAGGAGAGAGAUGGCUUCCAUAUUCCUACAUGUGUGAUCAAGAAACUGUACCAACAUAAAAGAAAACUUCCUUGUACUUCACUUAUUAUGUUUGAUUCAUAGCCAAUGUAAUCCCUGUUGUUCAAAUAAGCAUACAUUCAUGUAAAAUAGGAGAAUUAUUUUCUCGUGUGGGAAAGACGAGAGAAACGUGUCACUGCACUUACGCAGCAGCAUAUGCUCCACUCUUCUGCCAUUUGUUUAAAGUCCCUUGGGAAGGCAUGAAUAUUUAACUUCAGAUUUUUACAGUAUAAUUUAUAGUUGCAUCAUAUGAACUUCAUCACAUAAUUAUUGUUAAAGUAAAAUGGCAACUUGCAAAAUCUAGUAGCAUAUAGAAGUUUAAUUUUGCUUUAUUAUAUUCAAUUAUGGAUGCUAGGUUCAUAACCAUGGACAUAAGCUAGUCUUUAACUUUAAUAAUAUCAGUGGUUUCAGAAUGUGCUUCAUUAAAACAGAAUGUGUAAGAUUUUAUCUUUAUUGCUUAGGCUUCAUGAAUUUGUUCGACAAAUAGUGUUCUGUGUUAGUGUUGUUCUUAUUUAUGAGACCGGGCCUCAUGUAACCCAUUCUUGCUUAGAAUUUUCUACAUAUCCAAGGAUGACCUUGUACUCAUGAUCUCCCUGUCUCUGUCUCCCAUGUGUUGGGAAUACAGAUAUGCAUCAUUGUGAUUCUGUUUCACACACUGCUUUCUUAAGAAUAGAUUUAUAGCAGUUCAAGAAACUGAACUAUUAUGUUUUUCUGUUUUUCUAUAUUUUAAAUAAUGGAAGUAUUGGCAUGUAGGACAGUAAUAAAAUGAUAUUUCAGUAGGUAUCAUUAUGAAUGAUAAAUCAUAUAUUUAGGAGUAAUUUUAUUACUUUGAUAAAGUUCAAUAUUGAAAGAAACUUUUUUAAUGCACUGAGAAAACAGAUUAUUACUCUAGUAAUGCAUAAGUUGAUAUGAGCAUCCAUAAUACAUCAGUGGAUAUCUGAUGUUAGAACAAUAGGCAAACACAAUCCCUAGAAGAACUUCAUUAAGGAAAGAAUUUCAGUGUGGCCUGACUAUCAUACAAAAGUUCUCUGUGAUUCCACAGCUUCUCCUCAUUGUGCAGGAGGAGAGUACCUGACCCUGUGAGCUACAGGAAACAUUUGUAGCAUCGUUAUGCCAGUAGCUCCAUAGCCACACAGUAUGAAUAUGAGUGACUUUUCAACACCAUAGAAGCAAUUAAACUGGUCUCCUGACUUUUCUUGGUGCUAAUUUCAUAGCUUUCCCUUAGUUACUACUCUUCUGUGAAUAUCAAGGAGAAGAAUUCUUUUCCUGUCCUUUGCAGCCUGAAGGGAAGUAUUCAAGUAGAAUAUCUUCUUUUUCAUAGGCCAGUAGAAGAUUCCUGCCUCAUUAUCUGAGAUAAAUAAUGGGAAUUAGAAAUUACAUUUUCGUCCUUAAAUUUCAUAUUUAAUAUUUUAUGGCUUUUAAGUGAGUAAUAAAUUCUUUUGUCAUAAUUCAUUAUUUAUGAAAUGCUUUUAACAAAAUUCGAUGUAAUUCCAAAAAAUGACAGGCGUGGGGAGAUGUGCCUGAAGAUAAUUGGCCUAGCUUUACAAGGUAGUAAAGAUAUUUCUUUUUCACUAGAAAUACUGAUGGCAGAUUGUAGAGAUUAUACUGAGGGCUCAUCUGAUAAGAGCAUUUGUUUUUGCAGAAGACCCCGGUUUGUUUCCCAGCAUCCAUAUCAUAGAUGAAUCACUUCUGCUUGAGAGGAUCAGAACUCUUUUUCUGUCCUUCAUUGCAUCAGACAUGAUGUAGAUGCAUAUGUGCAGGCAAGACCCAAAUACAUUUAAAAGCAAUUGAUUAAUAAAAAAUAGUUCUAUGAUUUCCUUUUUAAGAAAAGCUUUCUAAUGGUAAUGGCAGAAUACCACAUUGGUUUUAUUGAAUCCAAAAGUCCAAUGUAUAAAAGCUGUCCUCCCGUCUUUGACAUGUUUUAAUUAGAUGAAGGCAAAGCUUGAAAUUCAACUCAUUCUG
rnacentral:lncRNA from 1 species